rnacentral:rRNA from 1 species
AUUGAACGCUGGCGGCAUGCUUUACACAUGCAAGUCGAACGGUAACAGGGUGCUUGCACCGCUGACGAGUGGCGAACGGGUGAGUAAUGCGGCGGAACGCACCGAGGAAUGGGGGAUAACGCAGCGAAAGCUGUGCUAAUACCGCAUACGCUCUGAGAAGGAAAGCGGGGGACCUUCGGGCCUCGCGUUACUCGAGCGGCCGGUGUCUGAUUAGCUGAUAGGUGAGGUAAGGGCUCACCUAGGCUACGAUCAUUAGCGGGUCUGGGAGGAUGAUCCGCCAAACUGGGACUGAGACACGGCCCAGACUCCUACGGGAGGCAGCAGUGGGGAAUUUUGGACAAUGGGCGCAAGCCUGAUCCAGCCAUGCCGCGUGUCUGAAGAAGGCCUUCGGGUUGUAAAGGACUUUUGUCAGGGAGGAAAUCCUUAGCGCUAAUACCGUUGAGGGAUGACAGUACCUGAAGAAUAAGCACCGGCUAACUACGUGCCAGCCGCCGCCGUAA